rnacentral:rRNA from 1 species
UUAAUGGAGAGUUUGAUCCUGGCUCAGGACGAACGCUGGCGGCGUGCCUAAUACAUGCAAGUCGAGCGAGGGUCUUCUGACCCUAGCGGCGGACGGGUGAGUAACACGUAGGCAACCUGCCUGUAAGACUGGGAUAACAUAGGGAAACUUAUGCUAAUACCGGAUAGGGUUUCGCUUCACCUGAAGCGAAACGGAAAGAUGGCGCAAGCUAUCACUUACAGAUGGGCCUGCGGCGCAUUAGCUAGUUGGUGAGGUAAUGGCUCACCAAGGCGACGAUGCGUAGCCGACCUGAGAGGGUGACCGGCCACACUGGGACUGAGACACGGCCCAGACUCCUACGGGAGGCAGCAGUAGGGAAUUUUCCACAAUGGACGAAAGUCUGAUGGAGCAACGCCGCGU